UACGUAGGGGGCAAGCGUUGUCCGGAAUCAUUGGGCGUAAAGCGCGCGUAGGCGGCUUGGUAAGUCCGUUCUGAAAGCCCGGGGCUCAACCCCGGGAGGCGGAUGGAUACUGUCAAGCUUGAGUCCGGAAGAGGCGAGUGGAAUUCCCGGUGUAGCGGUGAAAUGCGCAGAUAUCGGGAGGAACACCAAUGGCGAAGGCAGCUCGCUGGGACGUGACUGACGCUGAGACGCGAAAGCGUGGGGAGCAAACAGG
rnacentral:rRNA from 1 species